UGUCCCCUGGCAGAUAACAAUAACUGCCAUAAUCCUGUUCCACUCCCUGUAGCGGAUUCCACGCGGCUCCACCUCCCCCUGCGACAGCUAUGAUGCUGCUCCGCUCCCUGCGGCAGGUGCUGCACGAUCCCACUACUCGCUGACAACUAGCAGUAACGGACGCCACCCCGCUACCUGCAGCAGGCCCUAUGUGGCGGGAUAUGAUGAUGGCCACGUGUCUGCUCCAUUAUCUUUCGCAAUCAAUUCUCCUGACCAUGGGCGGCCCACUACCAGGC
rnacentral:lncRNA from 1 species